rnacentral:rRNA from 1 species
UGGGGAAUAUUGCACAAUGGGCGCAAGCCUGAUGCAGCCAUGCCGCGUGUGUGAAGAAGGCCUUCGGGUUGUAAAGCACUUUCAGCGGGGAGGAAGGCGGUGAGGUUAAUAACCUCAUCGAUUGACGUUACCCGCAGAAGAAGCACCGGCUAACUCCGUGCCAGCAGCCGCGGUAAUACGGAGGGUGCUAGCGUUAAUCGGAAUUACUGGGCGUAAAGCGCACGCAGGCGGUCUGUCAAGUCGGAUGUGAAAUCCCCGGGCUCAACCUGGGAACUGCAUUCGAAACUGGCAGGCUAGAGUCUUGUAGAGGGGGGUAGAAUUCCAGGUGUAGCGGUGAAAUGCGUAGAGAUCUGGAGGAAUACCGGUGGCGAAGGCGGCCCCCUGGACAAAGACUGACGCUCAGGUGCGAAAGCGUGGGGAGCAAACAGG